GACGAACGCUGGCGGCGUGCUUAACACAUGCAAGUCGAACGGAAAGGCCCUGCUUUUGUGGGGUGCUCGAGUGGCGAACGGGUGAGUAACACGUGAGUAACCUGCCCUUGACUUUGGGAUAACUUCAGGAAACUGGGGCUAAUACCGGAUAGGAGCUCCUGCUGCAUGGUGGGGGUUGGAAAGUUUCGGCGGUUGGGGAUGGACUCGCGGCUUAUCAGCUUGUUGGUGGGGUAGUGGCUUACCAAGGCUUUGACGGGUAGCCGGCCUGAGAGGGUGACCGGCCAGAUUGGGACUGAGAUACGGCCCAGACUCCUACGGGAGGCAGCAGUGGGGAAUAUUGCACAAUGGGCGGAAGCCUGAUGCAGCAACGCCGCGUGCGGGAUAACGGCCUUCGGGUUGUAAACCGCUUUCGCCUGUGACGAAGCGUGAGUGACGGUAAUGGGUAAAGAAGCACCGGCUAACUACGUG
rnacentral:rRNA from 1 species